CCCCAAGCCGACCUAGCUACCAACCGCGUUAAAGAAAGAGAUCGACUUGUUCGCAAGAGAGACACGACUAAAAUAGGUCACAAAGAAAGGAAAAGGAUGUUCAAUAUGGUAGCGUAGCUGCUGAAACGUGAAGCUUGGACACUUGAACCAGUAGUUGUCACGCUCUUAAGGCUGUUAUUACGCCAAAGUCGACAUGAAACGGCGCCAACUAACCCUUCAGCGGUAAAUAAAGGCUUGUAGCGCUUACGGAAAGGUUAAUUGCUGUUUUUUUGGCCAAAAUGUUGGUUUAAAACUCAACAAAAGAUUACAAAUUUGUUUUACCUCAAAAAUGAUUUCCUCCUGUAUAAACUUUGCUUCAAAGCGCUUCCAAAUAUUGCCAAGUAGAGAAGCAAUUAAUUUUUUUCGCAGUCGCUACAGAAGGUAGGCGCCAUGAUAAAAUAGGUAUUAUAUUGCGCACAUAGGGACAUUUUGCGCGUAUUCUGUGACGUUUUUCUGUCUUCCCUGUAUUUUUACUUUCCGAGCGUAAGUAAAUGUAAAUUGGAGAUUCCGUUACAAAUAAAAUAAAUUAUAUUAAAUUAAAUUAAAUUAAAUUAAGAAAGAUUAGUGAUCGAGUCCAUCGGCCGAAUUACCACUUUCAUAUUUUUAUGACAUGUCAUGACAUCUAGAGUACGAAAACAGUGGUCUCCCAUUUCCGUCUGUCUGUACUGAAUUCGAAUUUUCAUCCUAGACAGAGAAUUUUUGGAAAAAAUUUAAAACUGAAUAACAACAUUUUGCAAUAUAACUUUGAAACUGCAAAACCGAUAAUUUUUGUUUUCAUUUUGUUUCUGCACGAUACGUAACCUUUUAAAUUUUUCGAAUUUCCAAGUUUUGGUUGUAUAAAUUUUUCGAUUUAGCAAUUUUUUAGAUUUGCAAUUUCAGGAGUUUUGAACUGUUAGAUUUUCAAUUUUUCGAUUUUUCAAAAUAUCAUUUCUUUAAUUUUUCAUAUCUCAAUUUUUCGAUUUGCAAUUUUUCGUUUCGGUUUUUUGUUUUUUUCCCAUUUUUUCGGUUUUUCAGUGUACUGAUAUAAUUUUUUUUUCUCAAUCUGAAAUUCUUCAAUUUUUGGUUUUUUCAAUCUGUUGACUUUUCAAUUUUUCGAUUUUUCAAUUUUUCUUUUCCUGAAUUUUUCCAUUUGCAAUUUCUUAAUUUUUCAUUUUUUUGGUUGUCAAUUUCACGGUAUGUAAAUCUUCGGAGUUUCGUUUUAAAAUUUUUCACUUUUUCGAUUUUCCAACUUUUGGUUGUUUCAAUUUUUCGAUUUUCAAUUUCACUAGUAAUUUUUACUUUUUCAAUUUUUCGAUUUUUUCGAAUUUUGAUUUCUUCAAUUUAUCAUUUUUCAAUUUUUGAUUUGCAAUUUUUCAGUUUUUCAUUUUUAAAUCUUUCAGUUUUUCGAUUUUCCAACUUUUGGAUGUUUCAUUUUUUUGAUUCAAUAAUUUUUCGAUUUGCAAUUUCACGAGUUUUCAGUUUUUAAUUUUCCAAUUUUUCGAUUUUUCAAAUUAUCAUUUCUUCAGUCUUUCAUUUUUUAAUUUUUCGCUUUUUUUAUUUUUUUCAUUUCUUCAAUUUUUGGAUUUUUUAGUAAAAUUUUUAGUUUUGCAAUUUUCGAUUUUUCACCUUUUUUUGGUUCUUGAAUUUCACUCUUCAAGUUAUCAUUUUAAAAAUUUUUCAGUUUUUCGAUUUUCCAACUCUUGGAUGCUUUUUUAAUUUAAGAAUUUUUAUAUUUGUCAUUUCACGAGUUUUAAAUUUAGAAUUUUUUAAUUUUUCGAUUUGUAAUUUUUCGCUUUUUUUUUAUUUUCUUUUAUUUCUUCAAUUUUUGGAUUUUUCAGUGCUCUGAUAAUUUUUUUUUCUCAAUGUGAAAUGUUUCAAUUUUUGAACUUUCAAUUUUUCGAUUUUUCAUUCAUUUCUUGAACUAUCCAUUUUUCAAUUUUUCGAUUUGAAAUUUUUCGUUUCGGUUUGUUUUUUUUUUAUUUCCUCAGUUCUUUGGUUUUUUAUUGUUGUUUUAUUUUUUUAUUUUUUUUCUAAAAGAGAAAUUUCUCAAUUUUUGGUUUUUUCAGUUUUUAUGAAUUGCAAAUUUUCCUGUUUUCAAUUUUUCAUUUUUUUGGGUUCUUCAAUUUCACGAUAUUUAACUCUUCGUGUUUUCAUUUUAAAAAUUUUUCAGUUUUUCGAUUUUCCAACUCUUGGAUGUUUGAAUUUUUAUAUUUGCCAUUUCACGAGUUUUAAAUUUAGAAUGUUUCAAUUUUCGAUUUGCACCUUUUUGUUUGGUUUUUUUAUUUUUUAUUUCUUCAAUUCUCCAUUUUUCGAUUUUUCGAUUUGUAAUUUUUCGGUUUUCCAUUGUUCCAAUUUCAAAAUUUUCUCUUUCUCGGUGUGAAAUGUUUCAGUUUUUGGAUUUUUGGAAUUGCAAUUUUUCAAUUUUUAUUAUUUUGUUUUGUUUCUGCACGAUAUGUAACUUUUCAAAUUGUUAAGAUUCCAGGUUUUGGUUGUAUUAAUUUUUCGAUUUAGCAAUUUUUGGAUUUGCAGUUUCACGAGUUUUCAACUUUUAAAUUUUCUAUUUUUCGAUUGCAAUUUUUCGUUUCGUCCAGUUUUCCGGUUUUUGAAUGUUCUGAUUUAAUUUUUUUUUGUCAACGUGAAAUUCUUCAAUUUUUGGUUUUUUCAAUUUAUGAUUUGCGAUUUUUGAUUUUUCAAUUUUUCGAUUUUUCAAUUUUCCUCUUCCUCAAUUUUUCGAUUUGCAGUUUUUUAGCUUUUAAUUUUUUUUGCUUUUCAAUUUAGGAUAUGUAACUCUUCGAAUAUUUCAUUUUACAAUUUUUCAGUUUUUCGAUUUUCCAACUUUUUAUUGUUUCAAAUUUUCGAUUUAGCAAAUUUUUCGAUUUUCAAUUUUUUUCUUUUUCAUUUUUCAAUUCUUCCAUUUAGAAUUUUUCUUUCCGGUUUUUGUUUUUUUUUUAAUUCUUCAAUUUUUCGAUUUUUCAAUUUUUCUUUUCAUCAAUUUUUCGAUUUGCAGUUUUGUAAUUUUUAAUUUUUUUGCUUUUCAAUUUACGAUAUGUAACUCUUCGAAUAUUUCAUUUCAAAAUUUUUCAGUUUUUCGAUUUUCCAACUUUUUAUCGUUUCAAUGUUUCGAUUUAGCAAAUUUUUCAAUUUUCAAUUUCACUAGUUUGCAAUUUUUAGUUUUUCAAUUUUUCAUUUUUCAAUUUUUUUCGUUUCUUCAAUUUUUCGAUGUGUAAUUUUUCGUUCCGUUUUAUUGUAUUUCUUCAAUUUUUCAUUUUUCAAUUUUUCGAUUUAGAAUUUUUCUUACCGGUUUUUGUUUUUUUUAUUUCUUCAAUUUUUCGGUUUUCUAUUGUUCCAAUUUCAAAAUUUUCUCUUUCUAGGCGUGAAAUGUUUCAGUUUUCGGAUUUUUCAAUUUCUCGUUUCUUCAAUUUUUAUUUUUUUUCUGCCCGACAUGUAACUUUCCAAAUUUUUAAGAUUUUUGACUUUCCAGGUUUUGGUUGUAUGAAUUUUUCUUUUCAUCAAUUUUUCGAUUUGCAGUUUUGUAAUUUUUAAUUUUUUUGCUUUUCAAUUUACGAUAUGUAACUCUUCGAAUAUUUCAUUUCAAAAUUUUUCAGUUUUUCGAUUUUCCAACUUUUUAUUGUUUCAAUUUUUCGAUUUAGCAAAUUUUUCGGUUUUCAAUUUCACUAGUUUGCAAUUUUUAGUUUUUCAAUUUUUCAUUUUUCAAUUUUUUUCGUUUCUUCAAUUUUUCGAUUUGUAAUUUUUCGUGCCAUUUUAUUUUUUAUAUCUUCAAUUUGUCAUUUGUCAAUUUUUCGAUUUAGAAUUUUUCUUUCCUGUUUUUGUUUUUUAUAUUUCUUCAAUUUUUCGGUUUUCCCUUGUUCCACUUUCAAAAUUUUCUCUUUCUCGGCGUGAAUGUUUCAGUUUUUGGAUUUUUCAAUUUUUCGUUUCUUCAAUUUUUAUUCUUUUUUUUUUGUUUCUGCACGACAUGCAACUUUCCAAAUUUUUAAGAUUUUUGAUUUUCCAGGUUGUGAUUGUAUCAAUUUUUCGAUUUAGCAAUUUGCGAUUUUUGAUUUUUCAAUUUUUCUUUUUCUCAAUUUUUCGUUUUGCAGUUUUUUAAUUUUAAUUUUUUUUUGCUUUUCAAUUUACGAUAUGUAACUCUUCGAUUUUCAAUUUCACUAGUUUGCAAUUUUUAGUUUUCAAUUUUUCAUUUUUCAAUUUUUCGAUUUGCUAUUUUUCAGUUUUUGAUUUUUUUUUUCGUUUCUUCAAUUUCACUUAAAUGAAAACUCUUCGGGUUUUCAUUUUUCAAUUUUUCAGUUUUUCGAUUUUCCAAUUUUUGGAUGUUUCAAUUUUUCGAUUUAACAACCGAAUUAAAAAAAAACGCUGCGGGACUCGACUUUUUCAAAUUUGUAAAAAAUAAAACACCAACACCUCAAAAGAUUUUUUCAAGUUCAUGCAGCAACGAUUCCUUUAAAUUUAUCCGAAAAUAAAACACCAGGGGACCUAAAAUUAACUGAAAACAUAUUUAAACGUAGUAUUUUGACAAUUUUGACAAUUUUUAAUACGACAAACAUUUUUAACUGCUUACUCGAUUUUUGCUGUUUUGUACCUUCGCUUUAUAUCAGGCAAGCAUUGUUGUCAAAUGGAAUUUUAUCAAACUAUUACAAAAACAACAGAAACUUAUCUUUGUAUUGUACAUUAUUACUAAGUAGUUAUUGAAUGCGUUGUUUAGUUAAACGUAGCAAACGAACCAAUUUUAAAAUCAUUAUAACUGUAUCAAAAUGCGAGAAGGAAUUUUUUUACUAUUUUUCCCAUUAUUUUUCCUUCGUGCUUUUGUAUGAAAUUCCUAGUCCUCCUCUGAAUGACGUCACCUUGAAAAUAAUUGCAUCGUGGCUAGGGGCCAUAUCUUGUCUCCUCUAUCGCAGCAACAGCCUUAAGUUCCCGACGUUCCCCCCGCAUUUAAGCUGUUUUAUGAUCUUGUCGGGAGGUGCAGGAGCGCCCCGCCCCAAGUCCUAUUAAUCUGGAGUCAUAAAACGACGUCUCAUCAAUUAAUCCUCCCGGUGGCAAAAAAUCGCGGUUGCCGCUUCCAGCACUCGCUCUUCGUGAAGCCAUGUUUCAUCGGUUGCCAUAAAUUAAACGAAAAAUUUAUCAAGAUUUCGCAACUUUAUAUUAAGUUCUCGUGGCGGCAGGUUAUGAAUGGCCACAACAAAACUAAAAAGUUUUGUUCGAAAGAUGGUCAGCCGCCACUUCAUUCAGGUGAUCGAUAGCGGCCAUGUUUUUCACGAAAGUGAAAAUGCAGAUUCGCUCAUCCAUUGCUCAUCCCUUUUCGUUUAAAAUUCAACUUCCAGGCGUUACAAGCGGUAAUAAAAUACAGAUAAGCUAAAUAUUAGUAUAAUUCAUUACUUUAUUAUUUCAGGGAAAUUCGUAGGUCAUGUUUAAAUAUAAACUUCAAAUAGCUUCCGGUGGUUCAGCUUCCUUGAUGAAUUUUGAAAUAACAAUAGGCGGUUACCUGAAUUAGCUCAAUAUUUAUUAUUCCUUCCAAAACAAAUUAAAAUCGGAGAGGGGAGCGCACCGUGGGAGUAGAAAAACACCAAGACGGAUGGAACAAAGACGAUCGGAACAUUUAUUUGGUUAUGGAUGUCAGAUUUACUCUAGCUUACGGUGCGGGAUAUAACACUCCUCCCUCGCAUUCCCGAUCAACGUCGAGCUACUUUUGACGUCUUCCCUCUCGAGCAAAAUUUUGGAAAAUGCGCUAACCGGUCGACGUCGAUUAUGAGUAAAUUAUGGAACGCUCCUGAGGAUGUUUCAGGAAAAAAGAUCCAUCUCCAUUAUUUAACUUUUCAAUUCGGAGCCACUUAAUAUUCAACUUAAGGUCCAAACACCGUCCGUUUUAUUUUUUUAUGCUUGACGAGCUCAUUAAACACUAAAGCGCCGUCUCAAACGAGCACAAGUCAAAAAGAAAACGAGUAAAACCUUAAAUAAUCCCCAUUCGUCGUUGCCAUUUUAUUCCGACAACUACAUAAAUAAUCCUCCCCCGGAAAAACUAGAACAACAAGGAGCGAGAGCAAAGCCGACCUAAGCUAUCCUUAAUAAUUGAAAACAUUAGUCGCUGACAUGUAGAACUUGACCCUCAUUAACAAUGGAAAUCCUGCGAAUGCAGUCGCGAUGAGUCGACAAAAAUCCCGAAAAACUUUAAUUACCAAGUUUGCAGACGGCGUAAUUGGAUAAAUUUUAAACUUGGAAACCGACACCUCAAUACAAAGCUUUAAAUCCGAAAAGUGCGCCUCAUUAUCAGAUCGCGGAGCGCGGAGAUUAAUUAAAAGUUGGACCGCGGUUCCGGAGAGGUGCCGCUUGUAUUGGCAGAUGUAGGCGGCCAAUUAGGCAGGACAGAGCUAGGCGUAAUUGAGCCAACUUCGUCGAGAAUCUUAAAACUGACGCCCGUUUUCCGCACACAAAGAAAAAAUAAAUUGCGAAAGACGACUUUCGAUUCAAUUAAGAAUGGCCAAGGUCGCGUUCACGAACUGGAACCGUCGGGUUCGU